UUUCAAGUUUCUCUCAAAGCCUUCUUCAGAAAUUCAAGAUAAAAUGAGUCUAGCUUAACCCCUCCAAGGACCGAAGCCUGAAAAUGAUCUCUCCUUCUCUCUCUUGAGUUCCACAUCAUAUGCAAAAGAUGGGGCACCUAUGUAAUGUAAUACAUAGCUUGAAGCCAGCGAUUGUAAUGGUAGUGGUUCAGAUUACACACGCAGGGAUGAAUAUAUUGUUCAAACUUUUAGCAGACGAUGGAAUGCAUUUGAGGGUCCUUAUUGCCUACCGAAUGUUGUUUGCCACUGCCUUCAUGGUUCCUCUUGCUCUCAUCUUUGGAAGGAAGACCAGGCCAAAACUAACAUGGGUAGUAAUGUUCAAGGCUUUUCUUUGUGGGUUAUUUGGGUAAGGUACACUAAAUCAAAAUCUAUAUUUUGAGAGCUUUGCCUUCACGUCAGCAACAGUUUCUGUAGCCAUGAGUAAUCUCAAUCCAGCCAUUACCUUCGUUUUGGCAAUUUCUGUCGGGUUGGAAAAGCCUGCGCUAAGAACAUUGGCUGGGAAACUGAAAAUGGCGGGGACAAUGGUAGGGAUAGGUGGGGACAAUGCUAUUCACUUUAUACAGAGGUGUGGAAAUUGACUUGUGGUCAACGCACGUUGACCUUUUACAUCAUGAUCAUCAACAACACGUGGCACCAUCACACCAGGGGAGCUCUAGCCGUCAAGUAAUUGGCACCCUAUUGUGUUUAGCCAGCAGUUUAUCCUAUGCAAUGUGGUUGAUAAUCCAGGCAAAAAUGAUUGAAAGCUAUCCAUGCCUUUAUUCCAGCACAGCUCUCAUAUGUACAAUGAGUUUCAUGCAGUCUAUUGUUUUUGCCUUAUGCACUGAAAGAGAUUGGAGUCGGUGAAAGUUGGGCUGGAAUCUUAGGCUCCUUACAGCAGCUUAUUCGGGGAUUGUGUCUUCUGGUUUGGUGGUGGCUCUAAUUGUUUGGUGUAUACAAGAAAGAGGUCCAUUGUUUGUCUGAAUCUUCAAUCCUAUUUUCUCUCUUAAUCGUAGCACUUGCAGGAUCUUUAGUAUUGGAGGAAGAGCUGCACCUAGGAAGUAUACUAGGAGCGGCUUUGAUCGUGUGCGGGUUGUACAUGGUGUUGUGGGGUAAAAGCAAGGAAAUGAAGAUUAUAAAUCAACCAGAGCCAUCAAAAAGUUCCCAAGAAUCUCACUCUCAAUUGAGUGAGACUGCUACCGCAACUGCAAUAAAUAAUAACAACAGUGGCAACAAUGGAAGCAUUACAAGUAGGGGUGUGUAG